rnacentral:lncRNA from 1 species
GUAAGGGAAGAAGAGGGAGAAGAAAGACAGGAGAGAGUGAGACAGGAGGCGGGGAGGAGGCUUCUGUGCGCUGAUUACUAAUGCAAUGCGGUGGAGAGCUCAGCAGGUUCUGUGGGGAAGCAUUUAUUGUGCAGGAGAAAGCAGGCAGCGUGUUCAAAAAGCUGUCUCCCGGCUCUGCAGCCAAGCUGGAGGGGAGGAGAGGGCCCUGCAGGGUUUGGGGGCUGCUCUGCCUCUGAGAUGCAGGACAGUCUGCACCUCCCACUCCAGGGGAAUCUAAUCCACUCAGGCCAAGGGAGGAAAGAGGAGGCGGCCCGAGGCCACACUGUCCAAGGGGGUCGCCAUCCGACUCUGAAGCCUGGAGACCCUGGAGCCCCAGAGUGAGUCUUCCCGAGGCCGUGACCAGAGGCAAGUGACAAUCAGACCCCCUUAAAAUGCUCCUUACUGCCCCCCUCCUCAAAGUCCCCCCUCCUGGAAGCUGGGAUUCUCCCUCCCUCUUCAAGCUCUCCCUUAGGGCUCCUGUCUCAUGCUGGGCUCCCCCUUCUCCACUCAGUCCCUCAUUACCCUUCCGGGCCCGGUAGCCAAGCAACAGAUCCUUCCUCCUUAAAAGGUUAUGUUUUCUCUGGUCACUGUCACCCUCUGCUUUGUGAAUCACGCUCACUUCCCUCCUGCCUUGUGUUUUUAGCAUGAGUAACAGGGACUGAGGACAUCAAGUUUUUCAGAGAAGGAUCCGUUGUGCUUACAAUAGAACCCUGAAGCCCUUCCUGUUCAGGGCCGGGCCUCUCUGGCCCCACCCCACCCCCAGCUCUGCCUGCUCACCUGGGCCUCACCUGGCCUCUUCUUACCUCCGCCGAACUCGCCAUGGUUGCUUCUGCUCAGGGCCUUUGUACCUCUGUCCCCUCUGCCUGGAGUGUGUUCCUGCCACUUUGCUGGCUGCUGCUUUCUUCUCGUGGAGAUGUCAGCUCAGCCAUCACCACAGACGUGACUUCCUUGCCUGCCACACCUACUGUCACCAUCUUCCACUCCCAGUAUCUGAGGCUUCCUUUCGAACACCACUUCCCGCCCCAGUUAUAUGGUUUGUGAUGGUUUAUCUGUUUGCUCUGUUGUCUGUGUCCUCUCCCCCAGACUGAGAAGAGACCUGCCUGUUUCUUAUGCUGAUGUCUCUAACACUUAAUAAAGAGCCAUUCACAGAGGUAGAGGAGGAUGCUAGAGACAGUAAGGCAGGGGCAGGGCUGGAUCUCUGGGAAUCUCUCUGGCCAGCGGCCUUGUGGAUUCAGAGGGGCCUUCUGUGUCCAGCUCAGAAAACAGAGACCCAGGAUCCAUGUGAAAGGGAGGAUCUUCCUGGUCAGGAGUUGGCGGGUCCCCUGCAGCCUCUGAGGCCACUCUGCUCAGGGUAGGGUGAGUGUGCUUGCUCCUCAGCUUUGACACUUUGCCUGGUCAGGGCAUCUUCACAGGCCGUGGUAGAAGCUAUUUGGAAAACGCACCCACGAAGUAGCACUCACCUGGGCAUGGGGUGCUGGGACUUUGCUGGGUGAUGGCAGCAAAUAAGUGAAGGGCUCCCCUUGGGCCCCAGGUAAGGGACAAGUGGGC